AGGCUGUGAUGACGAGAAAUUAUACCAUCAAACUGUGAGAGCUUUGCUUCGUUGAUGUAAUCAUACAUUUCUAUUGUCUGAGCCU
rfam:Gossypium raimondii chromosome 2, whole genome shotgun sequence.